AUGUUAACUCAUCACAUAUAAAUAAUCGAUAAUAAUAUGUUGAUACUUUAUUAAGCGCAAGAAUUAAAGAUUUAAUUAUCUAUUAGUUUGUUUACUUACCAGAAUUAAUUAUAGCUUUAUUAAUUUAACUGAUUUGGAAAAAAACUGAACUGUGACGUAAAGUUUUAAUUUAAGCUUUUUUCGUUUUGCUAAACUAACCGAUUCAUUUGAAGUAGGCAUGAAUGUUUCUUCAAUACUCGGAUUAUUCAUGGCUGAUGACAUUCAUGAUGCAAAUUCAAGUAGUGUAUCAUGCAAUGACGAAUAUUUUUUUAAUAGAAAAUAGUCUAUACAGUUACGAUACUAUUUACGAGUAACUUGGUUUAACAAGAAUUAUUUUUAGGAAAAUAUGUCUAUAUUGAAAUUAAAGUACCAUUAAACCUCGCUUCAAAGAUGAAAGAUCAAUGAAUCCGAUUAAGGAAAAUUGUGUGUCACUGUUAUUCACAAUGCUGAUACCGGAACUCAAUGAAAAGAUAGCGAUGAGCAAGUGGGCAGCGCUCGGGGGCGCUCGGUUGUCUGCGGAUAAUAACUGAGCAUGCUGGGCGAUAGUGAGAAAGUAUAUUAGGCAAUAGUGCGAAAAAAAUAUCGAGCAGUGAAACAGAGCAUAGAUCGUCACGUUUGAGUAUCGUUUCAAGUACGAUUUCGAGAUGUAGUACUUUGCUGCAUUAACUGAAUGGAAUCUGAAGAUCACUUAACAUCUGACUCAACACGAUCUUAAAUAUAAGUUUGGACUAUGGAUAUUGCUUUAGCAAUUUGUACGCAAUAAAUCGUGGAACUU